rnacentral:rRNA from 1 species
CGUAGGGACCGAGCGUUGUCCGGAUUCAUUGGGCGUAAAGAGCUCGUAGGCGGCCACUCAAGUCGAAUGUGAAACCUCGAGGCUCAACCUCGAGCCUGCAUUCGAUACUGGGCGGCUAGAGUCUGUAGGGGGAUCUGGAAUUCCUGGUGUAGCGGUGGAAUGCGCAGAUAUCAGGAGGAACACCGGUGGCGAAGGCGGGAUCCUGGGCCAGUACUGACGCUGAGGAGCGAAAGCGGUGGGGAGCAAACAGGAUUAGACUACCCUGGUAGUCCACGCCGUAAACGAUGGGCGCUAGGUGUGGGAGGUCAUCGACUCCUUCCGUGCCGCAGCUAACGCAUUAAGCCGCCCCGCCUGGGGAGUACGGCCGCAAGGCUA